AUAAUUGUCUUGUGGCAGCCAAGUGUUCAUAGUGAUAUCACUUUUUGAUCCUUGAAUGUCAGUUCUUCCUAUCAUUGUGAAGCAAAAUUCACCAAGCUUUGUAUUGUUCACCCACUCAUAGGGAAUGUGAGCUGGGGUUAAAACAUCACGAGACAGGUU
rnacentral:ncRNA from 1 species